rnacentral:rRNA from 1 species
CACCUACGGGAGGCAGCAGUGGGGAAUAUUGCACAAUGGGGGGAACCCUGAUGCAGCGACGCCGCGUGGGUGAAGGAGUACUUUGGUACGUAAAGCCGUAUCAGCAGGAAAGAAAAUGACGGUACCUGACUAAGAAGCCCCGGCUAACUACGUGCCAGCAGCCGCGGUAAUACGCAGGGGGCAAGCGUUAUCCGGAUUUACUGGGUGUAAAGGGGGCGCAGACGGCGAUGCAAGCCAGGAGUGAAAGCCCGGGGCCCAACCCCGGGACUGCUCUUGGAACUGCGUGGCUAGAGUGCAGGAGGGGG